rnacentral:ncRNA from 2 species
UAGGGCUGCGAUGUCAAAAGCAUCCAGUUCCCCAGGUUAAACGGGAAGCAGGUGAGCGGCCUUCAUUGGCUCGCGAUUCCUGCGCUGCCCCCGCAACGGUCAGCGAAAUCUCCGGUUCUCAUGCCACCGGCUCAAUGAGCCAACGGCGGUCACUGCGCUCCAUACGGCGUGGGAAGGCGACGAACCGAGUCUGCGCAUUUGUCAGUAGCACGACUGCGCAGGCGUUUCGCAAGCCCGGAUACCGGCCUUUGUUAUCGCUUCGGA